rnacentral:lncRNA from 12 species
CUAAGGCUGCAUUUAUUUGAUCAUAAAUUCACUAAAACAAUCAUUUUGUUAAUUAUUAUUACAAUUUUAAAAAACUGUUUGUAUUUUAAUAUAUUUUAAAAUUAUUAUUUUAUAUUUUAUAAUUAUUAAUAUUUAUUCCUAUGAUUACAAGGAUGAAUUUUCAGCAGGCAUUACUCCAGUCUUCAGUGUCGCAUGAUCCUUCAGAAAUCAUUCCAAUAUGCUGAUUUGGUGCUCAAGAAACAUUUCUUAUUAUUUAUGUUCUAACAGUUGUGCUGCUUAGAAUUUUUGUGGAAACAUGAUAAUUUUUUUUCUCUGGAUUCUUUGAUGAACAAAAAAUUUAAAAGAACAGCAUUUAUUCGAAAUUCAAAUCUCUGUGAAAAAACAAAGAUGAGUACAGAAAUGUCUCAGCUUGUCCUGCAGGUGUGUUUGCAAACAGAAGCAGAGGGUCUGAGAUCAGAGCUGAAUGCCUGUUGUGAGAGAGAGAAGAUGCUGACACAAACACUGCAUUCUGAGAGAGAGAGACUGACUCAGGACGUCCAGGAACUGCUCACACAGCUCAACAGCACCAGAGAGAGAAACAACCAGCUUGUGUCAACCCUUAACAACCAUCGGGAGAGCUUGUUGGCAGAACUACAGACCAGCAGAGAGGAGCUUGAAUGAUUUCGAGAGAAUGUGUCACUUACCCUCAGCCAGCUCAAGACUGAAAAGGUUUCAUGUUUUAUUCUGUUCUUAUUAUUUUAUUUGUAUAAACAUUUUUCAAUUAGACUUUUUCAUAAGAUCAUUAUCUUUCAACAGAUAACUUGGAAUCAAUACACUGUUACCAAACCUUAAAAGCAAAGUGUGUAAUUUCUGUUUCAUAAAUACUACCUCCUGUCUGGCAUUGGUUAGAUAAACAGAUAGUCCCGCCCCCAAACUCACACCAUUGGUUGACCCAGUGUUGUUAUAUUGUGUCACUGGGAGGCUCAAACAAACAGCAAUCUUUUAAAAAGGUUUUUUCACCUUUUUGGGGCAAUCCA